rnacentral:rRNA from 1 species
UUUAUGGAGAGUUUGAUCCUGGCUCAGGAUGAACGCUGGCGGCGUGCCUAAUACAUGCAAGUCGAGCGAACAGAUAAGGAGCUUGCUCCUUUGACGUUAGCGGCGGACGGGUGAGUAACACGUGGGUAACCUACCUAUAAGACUGGGAUAACUUCGGGAAACCGGAGCUAAUACCGGAUAACAUUUGGAACCGCAUGGUUCUAAAGUGAAAGAUGGUUUUGCUAUCACUUAUAGAUGGACCCGCGCCGUAUUAGCUAGUUGGUAAGGUAACGGCUUACCAAGGCGACGAUACGUAGCCGACCUGAGAG